rnacentral:sRNA from 1 species
AUAAUUAGAAGCAAGAAAACAAAAUAGGUAAACAACUAUAUAUCUUUUGAAGUUAACUAUUGUUUCGAAUAAUUCCAGCAAAUAACCAACGUGCUGUUGGUCUAAUGGUAAAUCUCUCAGGUGAAAGUACUGGAUUCAAGACACGUUGGGAGGGAUCUUUUUUCAAAAGGAGAUGAAUUUAACCUGGUGUGGGUUCCGCCUCUCGGAGAACUUCCAAACAUUCAAAAAUUUUUU